CAGCUCAGUCAGUGCCAUUCCUGAGUUACUGGACUAUGCCUUGAGGUUUUUCAACUACCUACACCUGUAUAAAGAGUACCUAAAUCAAGCAUUCUUAAGAGUCAUCCAAUUUCAGAUAACUUGCAGUUUAUUCUAAUUGGAGUAUCCCAUCUGCUUCCUGUUGGUUCCCUGACUGACACUGGUAAAUAUUUCAAGUUUAGAUCAAUUGACUUCCUAACACCAGUGACAUAUCCAUGUGGAGUCACCUAAUAGUCAACUGGAAAAUAUGAUUUUGGCACUGGUAAGUGGGAUCAAGCUAGAACAAUUAAAUUUCAAGAUGUCCAAUAUCUUCCUUACAUCUCUCUCACCCCAGAUGAGAAAGCAAAUUUACCCUUGUGAUUUCUAGGGGGAAAAAUGCUGUAGGAUAGGAUAGCCAGAUCACCAGGUGGCACAGAUCACAGACCUCCCCGCAGAAUAAUUUGACCACUGAUUAAAUUCCCUCCAGAGUAGUCUCUUUCCUAAUAAGUUUUUGUACCCCUAGCUGCUUCUGCAUAUUUACCCACAGCCUCUUUUCCUUCACAGAAUCCUUUCCAUAAAACCCACAGGUGUUCCUGGGACCCGGGAGUCAGCCGAGCUGUACAAGCUGGAACUCUGCAAGAUACUUGGAGAUCAUUCAUUCAUUGAGAAGGAAAGAGAUUAAAGGCUAUGCAGCUGACAGUUGAGUUGC
rnacentral:lncRNA from 1 species